UGUCACUUUGGAACAAUCUCUAAGAUAGAAGGAGGAUAUGGGCGACCACUUGGGGUGAAUGCAAGCAAGCUUCUGAGGCUGAGAUGGAAGCCAGAGGACGUAGGUAAUAUCCAAGCUCCAGGCAGCAGCAGGAUGGAUCAGAGUCAGUAGGAGCUACAGCGAUUCUUGUAACCACUCUUGACAAACCAAGUCCAGGUUGGUUGAAAGAGGCUGGGUCAAUGGUCACCUGCUUCUCAGGGAAGGAAGCAUCUCCCAAGCCAGCCAGAUACUUCAAGACUUUCACAUGCUAUUCCACUAGUAUCUCAGAAGCCUCUACCUAACCUGGAAUAGAGAUAUCAGGUUUGCCCUCUAGGAUUCUAGGAUGCUUACGUCUGAUGACCAGAGUGCUCACCUCCGAAAGUCAGAGUGAAGGUGCAGGCACGGUGGCAAUGUGGCAAGAACCCUCCAGAGAUGACUAUGCCUACCAGCUGUCAUCAAACUCCUUCCACAGGAGCUGACAUUUCUCCAUGCCACAGCACCAAGCCCUCUAUACUCUGUCUCCAGGCAGCCUCACCAAGCAUCUUGCCCUUGACAAUCUGUUUACCUCAAGUCUAAAAUAAGUAAAAUUUCCAAUGAG